UACGGGGGGGGCAAGCGUUGUUCGGAAUUACUGGGCGUAAAGGGCUCGUAGGCGGCCAACUAAGUCAGACGUGAAAUCCCUCGGCUUAACCGGGGAACGGCGUCUGAUACUGGAUGGCUCGAGUUUGGGAGAGGGAUGCGGAAUUCCAGGUGUAGCGGUGAAAUGCGUAGAUAUCUGGAGGAACACCGGUGGCGAAGGCGGCAUCCUGGACCAACACUGACGCUGAUGAGCGAAAGCCAGGGGAGCAAACGGG
rnacentral:rRNA from 1 species